AGGGGAUCGCAAGACCUUGCGCUCAUGGAGCGGCCGAUAUCGGAUUAGCUUGUUGGUGAGGUAAAAGCUCACCAAGGCGACGAUCCGUAGCUGGUCUGAGAGGACGACCAGCCACACUGGGACUGAGACACGGCCCAGACUCCUACGGGAGGCAGCAGUGGGGAAUUUUGGACAAUGGGGGCAACCCUGAUCCAGCCAUGCCGCGUGUGUGAAGAAGGCCUUCGGGUUGUAAAGCACUUUUGUCCGGAACGAAACGGCUGAAGCGAAUAACUUCAGCUAAUGACGGUACCGGAAGAAUAAGCACCGGCUAACUACGUGCCAGCAGCCGCGGUAAUACGUAGGGUGCAAGCGUUAAUCGGAAUUACUGGGCGUAAAGCGUGCGCAGGCGGUUUUGCAAGUCAGAUGUGAAAUCCCCGGGCUCAACCUGGGAACUGCGUUUGAAACUACA
rnacentral:rRNA from 1 species